UUUUUUCACUAAACCUGCAUCUCCAACAGUGCCGCAAAAUUAGUGCUCUAUUUUAAAAUAUAGGGCUCAAUCUAUAAAAAUAGCUCCAAUAAUGUCCUAUUUUAAUUUUUUUUAUCAAUAAUACAAGGCACACCAUGAAGUGACCUAAAUAUACUACAUCCAUAUUAGUGCCCUAUACUUGUUUCUAUAUAAUUUUCAACAUUUGUUUUUCUAAUAAUGCAAUUUACUUCCUAAAAUAUAUUAUUUAGAGCUUGACUGCUAGAUCUUAAUUUGUUUGUAGUGCUAUAAACUCCUUAAAUUAUGUAGUAUUUUAAUUUUUGGCCACUAUUUGAGACACAUUGUUGAAGACGCUCUACCCCUCAAUACACCCCCUAAUUAAUAGUGCUAUACAUGCCCUCAUUAUUUGGCGGUGGUGGCGCGAGGGUGGGGUCGACUACGGUGGUGCGAGUGAAGGGGAGGGGCAGUGGGAUCACAUGAGGGGGAGGGAGGGAGGGGUUAUCGUACGUGUGGGUAAUGAGGGAAGAAUGAUGAUUAGAGAUGGCAACGGGUACAAACCCGUUGGGUUUUGCCAUCCUAAAUCCGUACCCGUGAAAAAUAUUUAUACCCAUUAAAAACUCCGUACCCAUGACGGGUUUGAAAUUUUGUCCAAACCCGUACCCAUCGUGUUAGCGGGUACCCACGGGUUACCCGUUGGUUUCAUCUCCAAUAUGCUUGUUAUCGUAAUGAUUAAUGAGAUCAUUGUCCAAAAUUUAUGUGAUGAACAACAAGUUUAUGAUUUGGUAUAAAAAUUAUUAGUAGUGUGAAUGAAAUACAAAUAAUAACAUGUAUAAUCAAGUGACCUUGCACUAAGUUAUUCAUCCACCACAUAUGCUAGUAAAAACUAUAAUAGCAAGCAAGCAAUACUCACACCAACUACUUAUACAUUCACCAUUUGAUAAAACUUAGGAAGUAAAUAGGGAGAUAACAAGUUUGUUGUUCGUUUAUAAAAUAAAAUGACAAUAUGCACUAGGUUUGGUGUCGGGUUUAAAAAGCUCGCGAGUUCACAGGUUUGGGUACUAUAGAAACAAACAUAUAUAAUCAUAUUGCUGUAGAAAUAGUUGGAUUUUGCCUUUGGAUUGCAGGAGAAACAUUGAAAAAUCAUACGAAUAACAUAGGAAACUUCUGUGUGCAAUCAGUUUUAUAGGAAAAACAAAUUGAGAAAAAUCUGAAAAAACGAAGCCACUUCAAGUUCUUUGUUUCUCUUUCGUUGUGUAGGAUGUAGGCAUUUCCUGUGUUUUUUACGUGGCUCAUCCAAACAACAUCUCUACUACUAUUAUAUGAGAUUUUUUCCUUUGGUACGUCGUUCCCCGUCCACGCACGUUUAUCCGACUCCCUGUGAAAAAUCCAAAAAAAUACAUGUUUAUUGGGGUUUAAACAGUGGCGGAUCCAGGAUUAAUCCAAGAGGGGGCUGCUAAGCUAAGGUUAUUAAAAAAAUUAAUCCAAACAAAAAGAAUCUAAUUAAUAUUUAAUAUGACACAACAAGCAAGGCAUAAUUUAAACAUGCAAGAAGUAUGUAGACCAAAAUAAAAUAUGAAUUCUACAAAUACAAUAAUCAAUAAAUAUCGUUCAUAAAUCACAAGUUGAUGUUGCUAGGUAAAUUUAUCUUCCAAGUUUUUAUGCUGAUGUCUAUGAAAAUGUAUGAUCAAAUGGUUGACAUGGGCCCAUUUGUAAAUAAGCUAUUUUAGCAUCAACUUUAAUUUAUGGGGAACUCAUCAAUUGGUUUUCUAAGGUCGGGAUCUGCAACUAUAUCAUUUAUAUUUAGCUCAAUCUGUGGUCUUUUCUAUUCUACACGACUCUCAUUUGUUCCAAUUGUAUUAGAAUUAGAAGCAUAUUUAUUUUUGUUCUUGAUGAGAAAUUUAUCUAUCUUAUCCUACAAACAUAAAAUUUAAUUUUAUUAACUAUCCAACCUAGCAAACAUUGUACCACUAGCAAAUAAAUAAUUAAAUCAAAGUACCAAACAAUAAAAUAGUUUUUUAGCCUUACCGUGCUUACCACUAGUACUGCCAUGGCACAGUACCACUAGCAGAAACCCACUGGUUCAAGGCUUCACGUAAUUAGCCGCUGCUACAAAUCAGGAUGCCAGAAGCUGCUCCAGCGCCCGCCCGCUAUGGCCUGGCCGCGUCCCGGCGUCCGUGUGGCGUGGUCUUCUCGAGAGCUGACCGGCUGUACAUCUACGCAACGCCGGGCGCCCGGGCCGUCCACUAGUGGCCACAGCCGCGACCGCCCCAGCUGGGUCGGGUACGUCGCCGGCGGCUAGGCAGGCGCGACGUGCUCGUCUCGCUGCGCGGAACGGUGGGGUGAGUGAGGGAGCGAGCAAGCGGCGGAGCGCCACGGAGGCCUCAGGGCAGCACCGCGACGGCUGGCGAGCCAAGGGCGGACAGCGGCAGGCCGGUGGCUAGGGCGCAGCACGAGCGAGU
rnacentral:lncRNA from 1 species